rnacentral:rRNA from 1 species
AAGGUAGUGUAGUUAUAGCUGCAUAUUUGACGUUAGCGACAGAAGAAGCACCGGCUAACUCCGUGCCAGCAGCCGCGGUAAUACGGAGGGUGCGAGCGUUAAUCGGAAUUACUGGGCGUAAAGCGCAUGCAGGUGGUUUGUUAAGUUCAGAUGUGAAAGACCCGGGGCGUCAACCUCGGAAUAGCAUUUGAAACUGGCAGACUAGAGUACUGUAGAGGGGGGUAGGAAGUUUCAGGUGUAGCGGUGAAAUGCGUAGAGAUCUGAAGGAAUACCGGUGGCGAAGGCGGCCCCCUCGGACAGAUACUGACACUCAGAUGCGAAAGCGUGGGGAGCAAACAGGAUUAGAUACCCUGGUAG